rnacentral:hammerhead_ribozyme from 1 species
ACCCAACUGAAGACUCCCGAAUAGGACGAAACGCGCGUCCUGGAU